rnacentral:misc_RNA from 1 species
GUAGGUGAACCUGCGGAAGGAUCAUUAACACGUGAUACUUAAACACGUAUUAAAACCCACCGAGAAAUUGUUAUUCUAUCCUAUUGUCAGUUGCAGGUAAACGAAAUGAGGGAAUGCUAUGGAUCGCCAGUCGAAAGAUUGUACAUCCUAACUCAUUAGUUGUUCUUAGGUCCGCCCUGGAACUUGCACUGAUAAAUAGUUGAUUAGUUACGACUGCUUAUUAAGCUUGUAGCAUAGCUUGCAGAUCGUAAUGACCUUAUUAACCCAAUAUUUUACUAUUAUUUACUGAUUUGUAUGUUUAUAUGAAUUCCUUAACUUUAAUUAGUUUGGUUGAGUUUAUAUAGAUGUCGUAUAUUACUAAUACGAAACAACUCUUAGCAACGGAUAUCUUGGUUCUC